CUACGGGAGGCAGCAGCAGGGAAUAUUGGUAAUCUGCGAAAGCGGGAACCAGCAACGCCGCGUGUGCGAUGAAGGCCUUCGGGUCGUAAAGCACUUUUCGAGGGGAUGAGGAAGGACAGUACCCUCGGAAUAAGUCUCGGCUAACUACGUGCCAGCAGCCGCGGUAAAACGUAGGAGGCGAGCGUUAUCCGGAUUUACUGGGCGUAAAGCGUGUGCAGGCGGUUCGGUAAGUUGGAUGUGAAAGCUCCUGGCUCAACUGGGAGAGGUCGUUCAAUACUGUCGGACUUGAGGAUGGUAGAGGGAGGUGGAAUUCCGGGUGUAGUGGUGAAAUGCGUAGAUAUCCGGAGGAACACCAGUGGCGAAAGCGGCCUCCUGGACCAUUUCUGACGCUCAUACACGAAAGCUAGGGGAGCAAACGGGAUUAGAUACCCCGGUAGC
rnacentral:rRNA from 1 species